rnacentral:lncRNA from 1 species
CCCGGGCCCGCGCGGCGUGCGCGUGAUCGCUCCCGGCCGCCGGGGGUCGAGUGUACUCUGCGCGCCCCGCCCGCCGUCGUCUGCCCCCCGCGAGGCUGGGGAGCGCGGCCGAAAGCCAUGCCCCUCUUCGUGCCCACUGUAGCAGCUGAGCGGGAGGGGUCCUGCUGGGGGCCGGGGCCGGGCGGGAAAGAAGAGGGCUCCUCCCCCGCGGCUUGGGAGGGCUGCUGAACGCCGGAGCCUUACAACUGUUAAACUCAGGCAGAGCUCGGGAAAUGCUGCCCGGAUGGGUGACUGAUGGAGAGGGGCUACCACUCUUCCAGCUAAACUCCGCUCUGGUUGGGACCCAGCAAUUAUUUUCCAUAGCGAAGUGUUAAUAAAAUAUCUGUUACUCCCAACACAACCUCCUGGGGGAAGGGACCUGUCUGUCUGCUUCAACUUUGGAUCCUCAGUGCCCACAUCAGGAUACCUGGCCUGAGAGAGGGUCCUGCCGGUAUUACCCUGGAGGAAGGAAUGCUGCACAGAGGCCGAGAGGAAUUUGAACAGACUGGCCUUGCUGGGUUUUUAUCUCUUUUUGUCCAAUCCCAUUUUGACACAGUUGUCCAUGCUCCAAUCAUGCUUAUCCAAUGAAGUUUCCAUAACAGGCCUGAGAGGACAGGGUUCAGGAGCUUCCGGACAGCUGAGCAGGUGGAGGUUCCUGGAGGGUGGUGUGCCAGGGAGGGUGUGGAAGCUCUGCCCCUUCCCCCAUACCUUGUCCUAUGCAUUCCUUUAUCUGCAUCCUUCAUUUUAUUUUAUUUUUUUUUGAGACGGAGUCUUGCUCUUGUCGUCCAGGCUGGAAUGCAGUGGUGCGCGAUCUUGGCGCACUGCAACCUCCGCCUCCCGAGUUCAAGAGAUUCUCUUGCCUGAGCCUCCCGAGUAGCUGGGAUUACAGGCACCCGCCACCAUCCCUGGCUAAUUUUUGUAUUUUUAGUAGAGAUGGGGUUUCACCAUGUUGGCCAGGUUAGUCUUGAACUCCUGACCUCAGGUGAUCCACCCACCUCAGCCUCCCAAAGUGCUGAGAUUACAGGCGUGAGCCACAGUGCCCGGCCUGUAUCCUUUAUAAUAUCUUUUAUAAACAACCAAUCAGUAAAUGUGUUACUCUGACUUCUGUGAGCUGCUCUAGCAAAUUAAUCAAAUCCACAGAAGGGUCAUGGGAACCCCAACUUGAAGCCUGUCCGUCAGAAGUUCCAGAGUCCUGGACUUGUGACUGGUGUCUGAAGUGGGCAAGUCUUGGGGACUGAGCCCCUAGCCUGUGGGAUCUGAUGCUAUCUCCACAUAGAUAGCAAUGGAAUUGAAUUGGCGGGCACCUGGCUGGUGUCUGCUGCAGAGCUCAUUGUUUGCUUAGUGGUGGAGAGAAGUCUCCCUCCACAUGUGGUCACAGCAUCUUCUGUCUGUGUUGAUUGCUUUUGAUGUUGAUCGAGAGAACAGGAAAAAGCACAUUGAAUGUCUCAAUGAUGAAGAUGACAAUAAUCUGGCUUCUAGGUUGUUAUGCGGCAGGCAACAGCUGUGCAGAUCCUAAUAAUCUACUCUGGGUGACAGUUUAACACAGGGGUUGGCAAAUGUGGCCCACUUCCUAUUUUUAUAAAUAAAGUUUUAUUGAAACAUG